ACUAAACCCUGGUAGGAAAAGGUUAAGAUCUCAAGGAAGACAAGACUUGGGCCAAGGCAGAUUGAGGGGAGGUGUCAAUACUCAGAGAAACCACAGCCACAGAAUUGUAAGGACUUGAAGAUAUGACUUUGUAUGACAUUUACCUGGAUUUACCCUUCUGUCAAAGUGACUGCAGUGAUCUGAUUUCACAAAGAGAGACACACACUACAGAAGAGAUUGGGAAGUGGAGGAGGUGAAAAUAAAACCACAUGUGACUGCUUUAAGAAUAGCAUCUCCACCAUUACUUGAUAAAAACUUUUUCAGUCCAACAAUAAUUCCCAAAGGGAAACAUCAUCCAUACAACAAACAGCAGCUGAAAAGUCUGUUCUUGUGAGCUGUGUCGUCGUUUUAUCCUCUCCACACUCUCUGCAUUUAGUUUGGUGCCAGGCAAAUUGUCUACCAAGACACUGAGCCAAUUAGGGGUAAGCUUUGUAGGAACAGCAAACCUGAAGAACGCCUCCUCACACAGGGUUACAUCUAAAGGGGGCUUUAGAUGACGUCUCAUUCGAGAAGAAUCCAUCUGGACAUCUUUUGCAAACUGUAUUUCGCUCUGGAGUUCCUACAGAAAACACCAAGCCAUUUAGCACAUUCUUCUCCAAUACUCUCACAACAGAUACCAUCUUCACAGAGUUUUGGUAGUGCUGUCCAUGGGAACAGAAGUGGUGUCCAUGUUUUCCAUUCUGUCCCUAGUGCCUAAGGGGCAUGCCUGGUACAAAGGACUCAAUAGGCGUAAUGCUGCUAGUUCUUAGAACUACAUCCUGGUGUUUACAAAAGGGCAUUUGGACUCUUCAUGUGUAAGUACAAAGUUCCUUUUUUCAAUUACUUAUAAAAUAAAGUCAAUCUCAGAAACUGCAGA